rnacentral:rRNA from 1 species
UACGUAGGGUGCAAGCGUUAAUCGGAAUUACUGGGCGUAAAGCGUGCGCAGGCGGUGAUGUAAGACAGGUGUGAAAUCCCCGGGCUUACGCUGGGAACUGCAUUUGUGACUGCAUCGCUGGAGUGCGGCAGAGGGGGAUGGAAUUCCGCGUGUAGCAGUGAAAUGCGUAGAUAUGCGGAGGAACACCGAUGGCGAAGGCAAUCCCCUGGGCCUGCACUGACGCUCAUGCACGAAAGCGUGGGGAGCAAACAGG